rnacentral:rRNA from 1 species
UACGUAGGGACCGAGCGUUGUCCGGAAUCAUUGGGCGUAAAGAGCGUGUAGGCGGCCCCUUAAGUCCUGCGUGAAAUCCUGCGGCUCAACCGCAGACGGUCGUGGGAAACUGGAGGGCUAGAGUGCGGGAGAGGAGAGUGGAAUUCCCGGUGUAGCGGUGAAAUGCGCAGAUAUCGGGAAGAACACCCGUGGCGAAGGCGGCUCUCUGGAACGCAACUGACGCUGAGACGCGAAAAGCGUGGGGAGCAAACAGGG